rnacentral:rRNA from 1 species
GACGAACGCUGGCGGCGUGCCUAAUACAUGCAAGUAGAACGCUGAAGAGAGGAGCUUGCUCUUCUUGGAUGAGUUGCGAACGGGUGAGUAACGCGUAGGUAACCUGCCUUGUAGCGGGGGAUAACUAUUGGAAACGAUAGCUAAUACCGCAUAACAAUGGAUGACACAUGUCAUUUAUUUGAAAGGGGCAAUUGCUCCACUACAAGAUGGACCUGCGUUGUAUUAGCUAGUAGGUGAGGUAAUGGCUCACCUAGGCGACGAUACAUAGCCGACCUGAGAGGGUGAUCGGCCACACUGGGACUGAGACACGGCCCAGACUCCUACGGGAGGCAGCAGUAGGGAAUCUUCGGCAAUGGGGGCAACCCUGACCGAGCAACGCCGCGUGAGUGAAGAAGGUUUUCGGAUCGUAAAGCUCUGUUGUAAGUCAAGAACGGGUGUGAGAGUGGAAAGUUCACACUGUGACGGUAGCUUACCAGAAAGGGACGGCUAACUACGUGCCAGCAGCCGCGGUAAUACGUAGGUCCCGAGCGUUGUCCGGAUUUAUUGGGCGUAAAGCGAGCGCACGCGGUUUGAUAAGUCUGAAGUUAAGGCUGUGGCUCAACCAUAGUUCGCUUUGGAAACUGUCAAACUUGAGUGCAGAAGGGGAGAGUGGAAUUCCAUGUGUAGCGGUGAAAUGCGUAGAUAUAUGGAGGAACACCGGUGGCGAAAGCGGCUCUCUGGUCUGUAACUGACGCUGAGGCUCGAAAGCGUGGGGAGCGAACAGGAUUAGAUACCCUGGUAGUCCACGCCGUAAACGAUGAGUGCUAGGUGUUGGAUCCUUUCCGGGAUUCAGUGCCGCAGCUAACGCAUUAAGCACUCCGCCUGGGGAGUACGACCGCAAGGUUGAAACUCAAAGGAAUUGACGGGGGCCCGCACAAGCGGUGGAGCAUGUGGUUUAAUUCGAAGCAACGCGAAGAACCUUACCAGGUCUUGACAUCCCGAUGCUAUUUCUAGAGAUAGAAAGUUACUUCGGUACAUCGGUGACAGGUGGUGCAUGGUUGUCGUCAGCUCGUGUCGUGAGAUGUUGGGUUAAGUCCCGCAACGAGCGCAACCCCUAUUGUUAGUUGCCAUCAUUCAGUUGGGCACUCUAGCGAGACUGCCGGUAAUAAACCGGAGGAAGGUGGGGAUGACGUCAAAUCAUCAUGCCCCUUAUGACCUGGGCUACACACGUGCUACAAUGGUUGGUACAACGAGUUGCGAGUCGGUGACGGCGAGCUAAUCUCUUAAAGCCAAUCUCAGUUCGGAUUGUAGGCUGCAACUCGCCUACAUGAAGUCGGAAUCGCUAGUAAUCGCGGAUCAGCACGCCGCGGUGAAUACGUUCCCGGGCCU